ACAUUAUUUAUUUCUUUAUUCAUUUUUUUAUUCAAAACUAUUACUAUUAAAUCUUUAUUUGUAAAAUUUUCAUUUGUAUCACUAAUAUAUAAUAACUAAUUUAUAAUAACCCAUAUUUUCUUAUUUAUUACUGCACCUUGAUCUAAUUAAUUUUUAAAUAAAUUAUUAAAUUUUUAUUUGUUAAAAUUUAAAUAAAUGACGGUAUACAAAUUAUUUAAAAUAAGUAGAAUAAAUUGUGGAUUAUCAAUUAUAAUACAGGUUCCCCUAACAAGAUAUAAAUAACCGUCAAAUUCUUUAAGUUUCA
rnacentral:rRNA from 1 species